GUGCCUUAAACUAAUGAGUAAGGAAAAUUACGGGCCUUGGUGACGCUUGGCUCUGCCUACGAACUAGCGGGUGCGGCUCAAUGGGUCGUGCUCGGUAGGCUGUAUUUUUGAAGAGGCACAGGUCGUCCUCGAGCUUGUCCUGCCUACUUUGCAGGAUGCUCGAGAGUGUUGCGAUCUGCCUC
rfam:Anopheles merus strain MAF unplaced genomic scaffold supercont2.3, whole genome shotgun sequence.